GGGCCUCUGGAGACCUGCCCCGGGUGGACGCGCUCCCUUGGCGAGCGCCCCAGCUUCCAGAGAGGGUGUCCCAUCCCCCGCGGCCCUGCUCUGUCAACUCCCUUUGGGUUGCAGAGCGCAGAAGGAACGGCCUGGCCUCUCCGCAGGCUUUGCAUUAUCCUGUGGAGGUUCUAGGUCAGGAACGACCCGACGAUGGGGCUAGGUUGAUACACAUCCAUCUUCAAUCAGUGUAAGAAUGCCUGUAGGAGUCAAUCUGAAAACUUUUGUCUAUAGCAGCACAGGUGAAGGAACUACAAAGCAUGAUUACAGAAACCUGUCCUGCAUGUGAUCGUGUGUGCAGGCCCCUGCAGUCAACAGUCCAUGUGGUGCCAUUGACACAGCCUUCUACCCAAUGUUCCUGAGAGCUGGGCCCUGAAUGUGCGUGUUCUGAAGCGCUCCCGACACUUGCCUACCAGCCGUUUGGACUUCACUGACUAAUGCUUCUGCUAGUACCUACAGAAGGCUAAAAACUGACAGCACUUGGCUGGAAAGUUUGGGAAGAGGUCAUCAAGAGAGUCAGGUGUGCUUUGAAUCCCCAAAUGCUUUAUGGAUCUCAGUGUUCAUUGGGAAUUCUCUGCAGUUUUUAUGAGGCUUAGCUCCAAAGAGUUCAUCAGUGCUCAGUGACUCAAAGUAUCACCAACAGAUGUGGGCAAUGCAGCUGCAGAAGUGGGAGAAAUUGCCCAGAGUAUGUGUAGGGCAGGGUUAGGCUGUUCCACUUCACCAAAACGUGAAAUUAAAUUAAUCAUAGUAAGACGACCAUCCUCACUUAUGAGUGGAGGCAGAACAUGGUGAAUUAGCAACCCUAUAAGCAAUUUAUAAAUAGAACAAAAAUGUUAAUUGAAAUGCAGUCUUUUUCCCACCUACGUAUUGUCACCAUAGUCUUCAGGAAAAACAAAUACAGUGCAAUCACCUGGAGCAAGAGUUGGCAACUUUUCAGCACUGGUGAAACAAGGUUGUAUUUUUCUUUGCCAGAUUAUGGAUUAAGUCCCUUGGAAGAAACAGCUUGAAUUGCAAAGUGCAUUUGAUCAACUAAAACAGUGAAAUACUGCUUCAGGAGAAGACAGAGGUUUCUGUUUUCUGCAGUUUCUCCCUAAUCUAUUUCUUACUUAAUGAUGUUCAAAAGUCUCUCCAUUGUUUUCUUUGGAAGGUUGUAGGGUUACAGCACUGCACUGCAUUAAUCUGUGCCCUAGAAGAACGUGGCAGAUUUUUUUCAUUAGUACAGCCUUAUUUGGUUUUUUUAAAUAUUUCUAUAACAGGAGGAUAAAGGUAUGUCAAAAUAUACACCAAAUCUAAUAUUAGAGAUUAUCUAUUAAUAAAUCUAUUAUUAGAGAUUAGAGAGGUGUUGACAACACUUAUGUUUUCAAGAACAAAAGCACUGAGACCUCACAUUUUCCUAGUGUAUUUACUUGUAGUUCUUAACUAUUACACUGAAAUUGAGCACAAAAUAUUUAGAUGUGUGCAGAUUUGGUUAGAUAGUUUGACUUUUGCAAGUUAGUCUCCAGUUGCUAGUACAUUUAAGAAAGGUAGGGGAAGGAUCAACUGUUUCCAUGGCACUGUCCUUAUCUAUCCUUUCACUCCUACAGGGGAUUUCCAGGGAUGGCUGCUGGCAAGGGAAGCCCUAGAAGUGCAGCUCAAUUACUAUUUUAGCGUUAAAAUGCAUCACAAGGUAUCCACACAGAUGGCUUCUCAUCUGCUGGAUUUGUAGUUUCCAGGAGGGAAUAUUGGGAGCAGAAGUAUCUUUAUCUCAGUCUUUCAUAUUUUUACUACCAGGAAACCCUUUCUCAGCCUUCUGCUCCAGUGCCUUCAGUGUCUGAUUUAGUGCUAAUUAUAACAGAGUAUCAGGGGGAAAAAAUACCAAAUUUAAAAAGAAGUCUGCCAAUUCUGGAAAGUAAUAUGACCCCAAAGAGGAGAUAAAAUGUAGCAUUUUCCCAAAAUAAGAUGCUUCACAUUGCUGUAUAGCAACUAAGAAGUCUACCAGAGUGCUAGUAAAUGAGAGGAUAAAUCAAGAAUUAGAGAUAGCAGUUUCAAGUGUUUGUUCAGACAAAGAGAAGAAUAAUGAUGCAGAUGGAAAUAUGUUUUCCGGGGGAGAGAAGCAUUAGAGAUACAAGCCAGUGCCAGAGUAGGUGCUGACUGGCAUUCCUGAACAACAUUAUCCCCAAAGAGAUGGAAGUUAUGGCGGUGGGGAAAGAGAAACCUUUUUUAUGUUAAUUCUCAAGAUUGCAGUCAGCUGGUGGUCAUUGGAGAGCAGCCUGGUCAGAAGUGCUAUUUCUCUUUUGAAACAAUUGAAUCAUGGAAUCAUAGAGUUGCUUAAGUUGGAAAAGACCUUUAAGAUCAGAAAGUCUAAUUGUUAACCCAGUACUUCCAGGUUCAUCACUAACCUCUGUCCCUAAGUUCAUCACUAAUCUGUAUCCCCAAGUGCCACCUUCUCACAUUCUUUGAACACUUUCAUGGACAAUAAUACCAUAAUUUCCCUGGGCAGCCUGUUCCAAUGUCUGAUCGGACUUGCAGCAAAGAAAUCUUUCGUAAUAUCCCAUCUAAACCUCCCCUGUUGCAACUCAAGGCCAUUUCCUCUUGUCCUGGUGCAUGUUCCUUGAGAGAAGAGACCAAUCCCCAUCUGGCUACAAACUCCUUCCAGGAAGCUGUAGAGAGGAGUGAGGUCUCUCUUAAGCUGCCUUUUAUCCAUGUUAAACAACCCCAUCUCUAUCAACUGCUGCACAUCAGACUCGUGCUUCAAACCCUCCACCAGCUCUGUUGCCCUUCUCUAGACAUGCUCCAGAGCCUUAAUGUCCUUGCAGCGAGGAGCCCAGUACUGAGUGCAGGAUUCAGUGCCAGUUCCCGGUACAGGGGACAGUCAUUGCCCGGGUCCCAUUGGCCUCUCUAUUGCUGAUACAGGCCAGGAUGCCAUUGGCCUUCUUGGCCACCUGGGCAUACACUGGCUCAUGUUCAGCUAGCUGUUGAUCCAGGACCUUUUCUGAUGGCCAGUUUUCCAGCCACUCUGCUCCCAGCCUGUAGCACUGCAUGGGAUUGUUGUGACCAGGUCCUGCAGGACCUGGCACUUUGCCUUGUUGAAUCUCAUACAUUUGGCCAUGGCCCAUUGAUUCAGCCUGUCUAGAUCCUCUGCAGAGCCUUCCUGCCCUCCAGCAGAUGAACGCUCCCGCCUAAUUUAGUGUCAUCUGUAAACUUACUGAAAGUGUAUUCAAUUCCUUUCUUCAGACCAUUAAUAAAGAUAUUAAACA